rnacentral:tRNA from 1 species
GAAAGGCAUACAGAACUGCUAACUCCAACAACCAAUAUUAAACUAUUGGACCUUUCU